CUUUUAUUGUGUCAGUCUAGCUCGCAGACUGCAGUCAGCAGUCAGAGCAGAGCACUACAGCGGGAUGCCGCGUCACUCAGCGCGUGUCUGCUCGUUCAAUAUAAAGACGAGAGCAGCUGAGAGAGCGCCGCAGUCCUCACACACACACACACACACACACACCUGUAAGGAAUUACCUACUUGCGACGGGAAUAACUUUAACAAGGUGAAAAACAAGAUCUGAUAUAUGUGAGAGGACAUGUUGAAAUGGCAGAAUGAUUUACAUGCAACCGAAUUUAAUUGGGAAAAAAGUUGACAACAACAGAAGAGAAUAACGAGAGAGAGAGAGAACAAUAAUCUACUGAUGUGAUGUGUAUACAGUAUAU